GAUGAACGCUAGCGGCAGGCUUAACACAUGCAAGUCGAGGGGUAGAAGUUGCUUGCAACUUUGAGACCGGCGCACGGGUGCGUAACGCGUAUGCAAUCUACCUUAUACAGAGGGAUAGCCCAGAGAAAUUUGGAUUAAUACCUCAUAGUAUAAUUGAAUGGCAUCAUUUAAUUAUUAAAGUUCCAACGGUAUAAGAUGAGCAUGCGUCCUAUUAGCUAGAUGGUAAGGUAACGGCUUACCAUGGCAACGAUAGGUAGGGGUCCUGAGAGGGAGAUCCCCCACACUGGUACUGAGACACGGACCAGACUCCUACGGGAGGCAGCAGCGAGGAAUAUUGGACAAUGGGCGCAAGCCUGAUCCAGCCAUGCCGCGUGUAGGAAGAAGCAUCUAUGGUGUGUAAACUGCUUUUGUACGGGAAGAAACACCCCUUCGUGAAGGGACUUGACGGUACCGUAAGAAUAAGGAUCGGCUAACUCCGUGCCAGCAGCCGCAGUAA
rnacentral:rRNA from 1 species